GUAUUAAUAGAUGCAGCCCCAGGAAGACAAAAUCAGCUAUUGAUAAUUGCAAAGAGUAUAGGGUAGCUACUGUAUCGAUCGGCGUGUCCUCCACUCCCCUGGUACUGAGAGAUAAGGAGACAGUGUUCAGAGCAAUAUAAUUUCUUUUGACCUAUCUGUUUGCUACAGACUUAUGAUGAAUAGCCAGAGUGGCUGAAGUCCUUUAUCACCAAAGUUACCUCCUUGAUAUAAUAUUGAUUCUUUAUAACUAGCUCGCCACACAAAAAUCAAACUGUCCACUUGGCCAUCAUCAUCAUCAUUAUCAUCACAAAGGCGGAGGAAUGAAGAUCCCUGCGCCUCGAAAAGCGAGCCCUUACAAUCUCCUCUGUAGGCCUAAGCUUUAUUUUGCUGAUGAUGAAAGGAGAGGGGAAACGAGGCAAGGUGCCAUUUAAGACGAGGUGCCAUUUAAUCCGAGCUGGAGUCCCGUAGAGGCUAUUACAACGAGGCCACUCACCGACAGAGGGGAAAGCACUGCUGGUGGAAGAGGCGGGGGGAGGAAGCGGGAUGGAGGGAGGAAGCAGAGAGGGUGGGAGAGGAGGGAGAGGAGAAACGUGUAAUCACCCAAACAACCAUUUUUACCCAUUUCACCCCCUCUGUGUCGCAAGUGGCCAUGAGGUUAUCUGUCUUUCAGUGCGGAUAUGGUGAAGUGAGGGCGGACCGUGGGGAAGACACCAAGAGGAUCUGUUGGUAAAACCAUUCAGGAGGAAGCCACUCAAGUGUUUUUAGACACUGAGCAGAGCUACAGCAGCUGCUCGAUUGGAUGGCAUGAUAUACAGAGGAAGAGGAAGGUCACAUACCCAGAUGGAGAAGAAAUGACAUUCCAAAAACACAGUGAAGUACAGUUUGCACAUGAUUUCUGCUGUAUUACUGGGACGUCUGUUUCAACAAAAUGUGUUCACCAGACAACACUACAAUAAUGGUUAGACUUGGACAUGGGAUCCUGUAGUGGACAGCAGUAUGCCGGCAUGACAGAGGGUGAGCUCGUCUGUCUGUGUCGGCCUUGGUGCCACUGAGACCCCAGCAGGGUUGGGGGGAGCGGGGGCUCAGGGUGCCAGCACAAAUGAGCUCCAUUCAUUUCCCCACUUCGGCAUAUGGUGGCCUAUUGUCCUCGGCCACAGAGGCAGAAGUGAUGCAAUUUGUUGGCAUGUCCUGUCAUUUCACAAACUGCCCAUCCCACUGAGGCCUUGGCCAGCAGAAGACAAGCAAGGGCAGCUUGUUGUUUCACCCCAUCCACACAAAACAUGCAUGCAUUGUGUGUGUAUGUGCAUACUGAAGUUAAUCCAAAACUGGUAGCAGCAGAUCAUAUACUAAUAAACAUGAUAAAGACAUAUGCAGUCAAUUGGGCAGUCAGAAACAACAGGAUCAAUCAGAGUAAAGCUUACUGAAGAUUAUAGUAUACAGUAUCUGUGUCAAUCCCUGUUGUUUUCUGUUAUAACAAUAGCUUAUCUUUGUUUACAGGAUAAGAUUUAAUCUGAUCUAGGAAUUAAUAUAUGACAGGAUCCUUACUUGGUCCAUGGUAUGCAAAGACACCAGCCUUUGCAAAACAAUAUGCAAAAAAACAACAAAGCCCCUCAGUGAAAUUUAACUGAAAUCAAAGCCAGCAUAGAAAGACUGAACACUGAAACCGCAGGUUUAUUAGUGACAGUGAACUGGGCAGCUCACCCCUGGCUUGUUCCUGGUUUCACUAUGCUAAGGAUGAAGCUACUGUCUGACACGAGGGGAAGGAGUCUUGUUCAACUUCCUAAAAAUGCUAACUUUUGACAUGAAGUACACAUUAUAACCAAUGCAGCAGCAGAAAGAAAGAAAAAAGUGUCUAGACAUGACUGUAUUAAGGUCAGACAGGGGAAAGCAUAUGAUCACACAGUCAUGCACAAAACAUUGGUAGUAUAUGGUGCUGACAGGCGUUUGGAUGGCUGGGGGUCAAAUGUCACUGAACCCAUUUCAUACUAACAUUUGUGAGUCUGUGUGUGUGUACACAGUGCAUCCUCGCGUCACGGCGGGGCGUCACUCAAUACAGGCAGUGUUGGUUGGAGGUUUGGUUCUCAUUGUCUGCACAGUGGGCAACCACACCGGACGCAUUCUCAUGUGCACACUGACUCAGCGUGUGACAGGAACGUGGGCUCUCCACUGAGCUCCUGAGCAGAAAUCAACAGAGGGGAGCACCUUCAGACAGAAGUCAAGUUGACUUCAGCAGCUCUAAAGAUUGAUGAUGUUGGUCCUUGUUUCAGUGGGUCUAAGGAACAAGUGGCCCUCAGAGACUCAUUACACCUCAGCAAGAUUUGGAGAAUGGAGUGACACUGCUCCUGAUUCCCAGAUUCAUCAUUUGUAUUGGACUUGGUUGCUCUUUCACAAAUGUCAUCUGGAGAACUGUAUCAAAACUAGUGAUCUGGUUUCCUGUCCUGUACUGAAAAAAAAAAACAGUAAAAAAAGUAUAAAUAAACUGAGAGAGGAAAGAUUCUAGCAAAAUCAGGAUAACAUAAUGCACUUUUGUUUAUUUGUCACAUGUAAAACAUAAACAGUCAGAUAAUCCAUCUUUGUCUAAUACCCCAAUCAUACAUCCUUGACCUCAAUCCUGGCCACCACCUCCCCGUUUGUUCUUCCAGCCACCAUGAGAUUCCUCUCUGGCCCUACCCUUAACCCCAUUUGUACCCUCCACCCUCACCAGCCCCCUCAACCUGUCAGGGACCAGCUUCCCAUGUCCAUCACCGGGUGAUGGAUGAGGUGGAAGGUCGUCACCCCACUCUCCUGAGUUCACUGAUCCCAUCAGCCAUGCAGACACCUCCAAAUCAUAGUGGGGGGGGUGUUACUGAAAUCAUAUAUUUAGAGAGAGAAACCAAGAAAAACGGAGGGUGCUGCUUUGCAAAACUUACCUCUAGACAGAUGUGCCUUUGGCAUUAAGUCAUACUUCUAAAUUUCACCAGCUGCCAUGCUUUUCUAAUGCUUUUAAAAUAAAUAACCAUUCAUCAGUUUUUUAACUGUUUCUAUCAUGUUUUUUACAUAUAUAUUUUUGGGGGUUUGAAGUACUUGUUAAAUCUUAUCUGGUAUAGUUUUGAUAUCCUGGGUCCACGGUAGAAGGUUUAUAAUCUUGGUACAGCUUCUGUAGGGAGUAUACAAAGUGGCAAUUAACUAGAGUAAAUAAGUACAAGAUAGUUUGUAUGCUAGAAAUUUUCAGGUACAGUCUUAAGAUUUAUUGCAUUUUCCUAAUAACAACACUUCUUAUUAAAAAGAUAUCCAGCACUCAGUAGAAAAAUAGAAAUAAUUUGCCGCAAGUGAUUUUCUGUAAAACACAAUGAAAUUUGAUUGCACCCUGGUAUAAACCAGGGAAGUGUCUCACCCCUGACUGACCUUAAAUUGCCUCUUGCUGCCUAUGGCACUGUAGGAAAACAGCAGUCCUAUUGGCUCAUUUCACAUAUGUUCUACUAAACAAAGCUACAGGAUAUCUUUGGUGGUUCUGGUUGGAGGGAACCAGAGGAGCAGGCUCAGCUCAGACUUUGGACAAGCCUGUCCCCAGUUUUCCAGCAAGAGAGCACAUGGCAGCCAAAGGAAGUGCGAUUUCUCUCACUCAUAUCAUUCAGUCAGAAGGAGAGAUUGAUAUACUACAAAUAUACAAGAAAAAUAAACAAUACACAAUAGUGUCAGGCCCCACCACUGACAGGCGCAUAGAUCAAUGUUAUUUCCUGCUUUUGCAAAAAUACCUAAUUUCCCUUAUUUAAUCAAGCGUCUCCUUGCUCAUGCCCCACUGGCUGAUUUAUAACACCCACUGCCUUUAUGAGUACCUGUUUCAUUUUCUUGUCUCUGCUCUGACACCUAAAGUGAUAGGAAUUUUAUGCUUUUGAUAACAAUAUGAGUUUCACUUUGGCCCAGAAUUCAUGGCCCUGUCAAUGGCCGAUAAAUAACAGCAGCAAAGCAAAAAUAUUCACAUGCUUCGACAACAAAGCAUCUGCCCAAUGGGAUUUACCUUGGGAUGAAAGCACAGAGGAGAGAAUAAAAAAAAAGAGGGUAGUGCAGGAGGUGUUGCUAUCAAAAGAAGGAAGGAUCAUCGUUAAAGGUCAUGUCAAUGAGACUGGAAGUGUACGAUGUAUUCUGGCGUCAAGACUCAUACUCAAUAGCCUGUAAUAUAAGCAUUUAGAUAAUGUCACAUGAACAUAAAUGCCAUGCUGUGACACACUGUUCUUUGGCCAGCAUAAAUAUGUACAGCAGGGGAGCUCAAACAUUUUCAUGUCACAGACCCUCAAGUUAAAAACCAUUAGAGGUCAUGCUGCCCCAUAUUUGAUUUCAUUCCAAUGCCCCUGAA